rnacentral:rRNA from 1 species
UUCUUAUAGCGAUCAUUAUAAGUAAAGCCUGCUCAAUGAAUCUUCAAUAGCCGCAGUUUACUGUGCUAAGGUAGCAUAAUCAUUUGCCCUUUAAUUGAGGGCUAGAAUGAAAGGUAUCACAUUUAAACUCUUUUUUGAAUUUACAAGCGCAAAAUUAUUUUAAAUAUCAAAAAAUAUUUAUAAAAAAAAAAGACGAUAAGACCCUAUCAAACUUCACUAUGUUCAGCUGGGGCAGCUAAUUAAUAACAAUUUAAUCUAAUAUUUACAAACGACCAAUCCAUUAAAAAUGAAAUAAUCAAGUUACUGUAGGGAUAACAGCGUAAUAAUUUUUAAAAGCUCAUAUUUAAAAACAAGUUUACGACCUCGAUGUUGAAUUAAUUAAUCUAAUAAACGCAACCGUUUAAAAAGAAAGUCUGUUCGACUUAUAAAUAAUUACG